UAUGGCUUUUUAUUCCUAUGUGAUGUUGAACCAUGCUCACAUGGAAACAGAAGCCAUUUU
ensembl:miRNA gmo-mir-135a gmo-mir-135a